GAUGAAGAACGCAGCGAAAUGCGAUACGUAAUGUGAAUUGCAGAAUUCAGUGAAUCAUCGAGUCUUUGAACGCACAUUGCGCCCCCUGGUAUUCCGGGGGGCAUGCCUGUCCGAGCGUCAUUGCUGCCCUUAAGCACGGCUUGUGUGUUGGGCCUCCGUCCUCCUCCCGGGGGACGGGCCCGAAAGGCAGCGGCGGCACCGCGUCCGGUCCUCGAGCGUAUGGGGCUUCGUCACCCGCUCUUGUAGGCCCGGCCGGCGCUUGCCGACACAUCAAUCUUUUUUCCAGGUUGACCUCGGAUCAGGUAGGGAUACCCGCUGAACUUAAGCAUAUCAAUAAGCGGAGA
rnacentral:misc_RNA from 1 species